ensembl:lncRNA LINC02866 long intergenic non-protein coding RNA 2866
CCAGGCUGGUCUUGAACUCCUGACCUCAAGUGAUCUGCCCGUCCCAGGCCUCCUAAAGUGUUGGGAUUACAGGCGUGAGCCAUUGUGCCCGGCAAGAGAGGCUUUCUUAAUUUCCCUUCUCAACGACCUGUUAAUUAAUCUUCCUCUUCAAACCCUGCUAUUGGUGAAGCCAGUCGGGUUUCUUACUUUGCUCUUUUGCCGAGUCAGGAGCCAGCUGGAAUGGGUUCAGCUUGUCUUUACUCUCCCCUGAGUCACUUCGAGUUUGGUUCUACUGAUCUACAGGAAGCUUCUUCCCACCACUGAAUUCAAGGGACAGUCUUCCCAUAUGUCUUUACCAGCUCUCGCAAAUGAAGACAGAGCCUGUCUAUGUCAUUCAGACUGGCCUCAAACUCCAGGGCUCAACAAAGCCUCCUGCCUCAACUUCCCCAGUAGCUGGGACUACAGGUAUAUGCUCAGCUUCAAUUAUUUUUGUAUUAGUUUGCCAGGGCUGUUAUAACAAAGUGCCACCAACUGGGUGGCUUAGACAACAGAAAUUUAUUGCUUCACAGUUCUGGAGGCUGGACGUCCAAAAUCAAGGUGUUGGUAGAAUUGGUUCCUUCUGAGGACUGUGAGGAAGGAAUCUGUUCCAAGCCUCUCUCCUUGGCUUAUGGAUGACCAUCUUCUCCCUGUUCCUCUUCAGAUUGUCUUUCUUCUAUGUAUGUCUGUGUCAAAAUUUCCCCUUUUUAUAAGAAUGCCAGGU